CCGUCACGGCGAAACGUGACGCCUUGAAGUACAAUCUAACUGGAGAACCGGGGACCCUCUCCACGAACGGGUUUUUCUCCCUAAUUUAAUGCUUUCUUUUAAUGACAUCGUUAACAUUUCUCAACAAAAACACAUGAAAGUAACACUGAUAAUUCAACAAUAAAAUCGCUUCAUUUUCCAAAGUGAUUCACGAUCUGAAAGUGCGCAGAUUUAACGUACAUAAUCCUUGGUUGGGUUUAUUAUUUUUAUUUCACACGUAAAACACAUUUAUAGUUUUAUUCACCACUCCUGUUAGUUUUGGAUGCGCUCGGCUCCAACCAAUCAGACCAAUUUACGCUAACGGCGCACUAAUCCCGUAACUGCACACUACCCAUAAGCCUCAAGCACCGUUGCUAUGGAAAUGAAGAUAAUCAACAGCUUGGUGCUACCCGUUAUUCCUUUAUUUACUCUAAAAUAAUAACCAGCGAUAAUACGAAAAUAAACUGGCCCAGUGUUUAAUUAUGUAAUUACAAAUUGCAAAUUUUAUUUUUUUUAUUUUAUUUUAUUUAUUGCAAUAUUUAUCUACAGCGUGCCUUUAGCGACACGUCAACAGAUCUUAAGCAAGGCGAUUGGAUGGUUUUUACUGCAAUGCAUCUUGGGAGUCGUAGUAAAUAGAUCUUUCAACUCACGGUCCAGCGAAUUUUUCGACUCGACACGAGGCAGAUCUUAGCUAGGUAAGUUGUGAUAAACUGUGGGUAAUUUGCAUGUUCACUGAAAUAUUAAUCAGCUGAUAUUAAACUUGAAAUGUUUUCACAGAGCAGUCUGUGUACCAAGAGAACUACUUCUGCAAAAGUUUAUUUAAUUUUUUUGUGACGUAUUCUCAUGUGUAAGACACUUGCUUGGCCACCCAGCUAAUGUUAGUACUGCUCUAUUUUAGCAAUGUAUCUUUUCUCUAAUUAAUUCAUUUUUUUUAACCCUAUUCUCGUAAUUAACUCAAUAUUAAUGACUUUAAUCUCGUAAUUGAUUUUUUUUUCUAAAUAUGGUGUAAUACUGCCUCGUAAUACAAGUUAUUUCUUUGGUCACAAAUUAUUUUUGUAACGAUUUCACCAAAACAGACCUGAAAUAAUCCCUACAUGUUCCAUUUUCAUUUGCAGAAAUGACAAAGCCAAAAACCAAACCAUGCCCUUCCUGUCAGGCUCCAAAUACCUGCAACAGGAAGACAUGCAGUGGAUGCCUGGGCAGCCUGAACGUAAAGGAGGGAUUGAAAAAAAAAAAACAAGAACAGCAACUGGGCUGCCUCUGUUAAAAUAAAAAAAACAGAAAUGCGAGCAGGGUGGUUAAUUCAGCCCAGUUAUCAGUAAGGUUUCAAAACUACAUGCCCUGGGCUACCAGCCAAUUCUGUUUCUUGGACAGUUUGACCGAAAGGGCCGUAUAGUAGGGGACGUGAUCACAUAGAGCCAGCGGAUGGUGCUGCAUGUGACAUCCUCAUGAAGAUGAGGAAACUUUAUGAACACCUUCUGAGAAAAUUACAAGCUUCACCUCCUGCUAAAAGUUCUACACCAGCAGCUGGACCAUCCUCUGCUGACAGUGUCGAUGCUGGACCAGUCCCAGACCCAGAGGCUCUAAACGAGGAAUUUAUUCUUCAUUUAGAGCCUGAACCAACAUCUUCCCUCUGUCAGCCUCCUGUAUCCUCCUCUUCAUCUCUGCUUUUUCCUGCAUCCUCUUCUUCAUCUCUACUUCCUCCUGCAUCCUCCUCUCCAUCUCUGCUUCCUCCUGCAUCCUCCUCUCCGUCUCUGCUUCCUCCUGCAUCCUC